rnacentral:rRNA from 1 species
AGCAGCAGCCGCGGUAAUACGUAGGGUGCGAGCGUUAAUCGGAAUUACUGGGCGUAAAGCGAGCGCAGACGGUUAUUUAAGCAGGAUGUGAAAUCCCCGGGCUUAACCUGGGAACUGCGUUCUGAACUGGAUAGCUAGAGUGUGUCAGAGGGGGGUAGAAUUCCACGUGUAGCAGUGAAAUGCGUAGAGAUGUGGAGGAAUACCGAUGGCGAAGGCAGCCCCCUGGGAUAACACUGACGUUCAUGCUCGAAAGCGUGGGUAGCAAACAGGAUUAGAUACCCCCGUAGUCCCUGUCUCUUAUAC